rnacentral:lncRNA from 1 species
AUGAGUUGCUGCAGGUUCGGGGCUGGGAGAGGGAGUUUCCUCAGCAUCCCGGGUUCUGUCUCAUCUGUCAGCAGCCUUAGUGGUCCAGUGAAGUCACCGACAGAGGGAGGACGGAACCAGAAAGGGAAACUCCAAGAGUCAAGCCAUCUGCUCCUGGAAGCAGCUGACAGCCUGGCUGCCACCCCACCACGAAACUGGCUUGCCCGGCCUCUUCCACACCCCCACCCCAAACCCCAGGGUCUCAUGAGGGUGACAGCAGCAGCGCCCGGGGACGCUGGAGCCAGACGCAAUCAGGGUUUUCAGAUUCUUUCUUCCAGCAGUGUGCUACAAAUUCCUGGGGAACAGCGCCCACGGACCCGCUGCCACGAUGCCCAGCGCAGCACCAGGAAUAUGGCCGAUCUUAAAAGCUCCAGUGUUGGUUUGAAACCUUCCCUUCCUCACACUUCUCCAUUUUUGCUCAGCUUCUGUGGCUUUCUCUGAGCCUCGUUAAACCUGUUUACAGCUUCAGGCCGAAUUCCUCUCUGCGUAAAGGAGCCCCAGUGAUUUUUGCUGGAUCCGGUUGAACCAGUGUCUAACCUUCACCCAUCCUGUUGUAAGCCCGGCGCGUUUUCUCACACUCCGUCCUGGGGUGAUGGGAGCAGCUGUUCUUCCUCUGAGCGGUCACGUGCCCUGAGCAGGAAGAAAGCCCCCACCUCCCCUCCCAACCCAGGAAUGUCCCUGGUACCUUUCCUACCGGAAAUUUCUGCACCAAAUUGCUUUCCUUCUCUUUGAUGCAAAAAGAGCCAGUCAUUCACCCACCAGGCCUUUUAGGGGAAUGUUCCUGAACCUUCCCAGCUUGGGGAAUUCCGAGCAGCUCAAGUCAGACAUCCAGGACCCUCCCCAACACUCAGGAGCCUAGCCCGGGCCCCUUAUGGUAUAGAUGGGGGAAGGUCCCCCAGUAAGCGGGUGGCACAGCAGGUUCCCGACUCGUCGUCUCCUGCUCCCAGGCCACUGGACCCACUUGUGGGACUCUAGGUCCCCCAUCUCCUGAGGCACGGUCCCCUCUGGCCAGCCCCAGAGACAGAAGAGUCAGGCUUUCUGCAUAGAGAAUGUCAGGGACCCAGUGGUCACCAAGCCUCCAGCUCUCCCUUGUCAACUUCCUCUUGGACUUUUGUGCCCAUAUCCUGUGUCACCACCUGUGACAUUGAGUGCAGACUGUUCCUUAUGAGGUGAUCUCACCAGCAAGGCCAGAGCUCUUGGUGAAGAAAAGAAAGCAGGGUUAAUUCAGUGCACACACUGCACCCCCCCAACACACACACACACCACCUCCAUGUGUAAGUGGCCUCUUGGUCUGCAGGCUUUCAUAACACCCCCUGGCCCUCAAACCUCAUGACCCAGGCCUGGAAGCUCACCAGGAAUUCCCACAACCCUUCCCAAAGCCUAAAUUGAGUCCCAGAGCGGAAUCCUAGAGCCAAAAACCAUCGGUGCUCCAGCCCGGAGCAGAAAACCCUCUUCCGGUUUGCCCAGUGACAGGGAGCUCAUGACCUCUCAAGACAUCUCGCCCCACUGUUAGACAACCCUGGAGGCUGCCUGGAGGAGCCGAAAGAGCAGGCCUAUGGGGUCAGAGAGACCUGAGUUCCGUCCCUGACUCCAGUGCCUGCCAGCUGUGUGGCCUCCAGGAAAGUCGCUUUGCCUCUCUGAGCCUCCAUUUCUCCAUCGGUACAAUGGGGAAUAAAAAUAUUUGCUUUACGGAACUGGCA